rnacentral:antisense_RNA from 1 species
ACAACGUCAUUUUGCAAAUACAUUGCAUGGAAAGGUCGUGCGAUGGGGCAAAGCAUGAAAAAAGAGUGAAAAGCAGAGAAGAAAUAUGGUGCGUUCGAUUGGACUCGAACCAACGACCCCCACCA